rnacentral:rRNA from 1 species
UACAGAGGGUGCGAGCGUUGUCCGGAAUCACUGGGCGUAAAGCGCACGUAGGCGGCUUCUUAAGUCAGGGGUGAAAUCCUGGAGCUCAACUCCAGAACUGCCUUUGAUACUGAGGAGCUUGAGUCCGGGAGAGGUGAGUGGAACUGCGAGUGUAGAGGUGAAAUUCGUAGAUAUUCGCAAGAACACCAGUGGCGAAGGCGGCUCACUGGCCCGGUACUGACGCUGAGGUGCGAAAGCGUGGGGAGCAAACAGG